UUAGAAAAAUACUAAAGACUUGUCUUUGUACUCAAGCAUUUGAAAAAUAAGCUAUUACGGAUUUCGACACAGUCUGAAUAAGGAUUACGAGCAAGGGUUAUAGAUGAGUGGAAUUAUGCCCUUUAUAUGUUUUUAAUCUGCAUUGUUCUUUGAUUUAUUUGUAUAAUUGUGUUAAUUGAUUUUAAUUGAUGGGAUAUGUUUAUUAUUAUUUUUUAAACAGCAUUUAAUCUUGCUGAAGAUGUAAGCUGCCUUGAGUCCCCCAUGGGGUGAGAAAGGCGGGGUAUAAAUGAAGAUAAAUGCUGCUUGUCUGCCCACUCCCUUCUCAGAUCACCUUGUUGCUCCAGACAGUGUCACUUCAAGUGAUGAGUAACUGGCACAACCCACAUCAUGCCUCCUGGAUGCAGCAACAAAGAUAACAUUGGGAGCCUGUAGAACAUGGGAUGGUCAUAUAAACAGUUUUUAAACUAUUCACAUGGGCUCAAAAUUGUGGUUUGCUUCAGCUCCUGGAGAAAAAUUUGGAGCAACCCAUAACUUUGAUUCACUUCACUUAGGCGAUCCCUCAUUAUCCAAGUAUGAUGGUCUUCCAAGUGUAGUGUCUUGGUGGUGGGUACGUAGGUGACUGUGGAGUCCUAUUUUUGGCCCCCGCAUGGUCUUCCACAGUGAGGGAAUCAGAUUCCAGAUGGAAGGCAGUCCUGGUCAGGGUUGGCUUGAUGCGCCUUCCUCUUGGCACAUUUCUCCCUUUCACCCUCCAUUCAAGCCUCUUCGAAUUUACUGCACUGCUGGUCCACUUCCACUGGUCACAGAUGACCUCCAGUUAGAGCGCUCAAGGUCCAGAGCUUCCCAGUUCUCUGUGUCUAUGCCACAGUUUUUAUGGUUGGCUUUAAGCACAUCUUUAAAUCUCUUUUCCUGCCCACUAACAUUCCGUUUUCCAUUCUUGAGUUGGGAGUAGAGUAACUGCUUUGGGAGAUGGUGAUCGGGUAUUCGGACAAUGUGGCCAGUCCACUGGAGUUGAUGGAGUAGGAGCAUCACUUUAAUGUCGGUGGUCGUUGCUUUUUCCGGCACAUUGACAUUUGUCCACCUGUCUUCCUAAGAGAUUUGCAGGACUUUUCAGAGGCUGGUGGAAUCAUUCCAGGAGCUGAGUGUGAUGUCUAUAGACCAUAACACUGUUCAAGGCCACAUUAAUCAGCUUUGGCCCAUGUUAACCUGGAUCAGUGCAUUGUUUAGCCAUCACAGAGCUGAUUCACUAGCCCUUCACACUAAGUGGUCAGUGUAAAUGUGCCCACUAUCAUCAAAAAUGUAUUGGAAUGUCUAUCAUUACUCAAAUAACUCCUCAAAUUGAAUUACUGGUAAUGAUGAUUUUUCCCAGGCUUCUGUUGCUGAAUCUGACUUACUCAUGUAGACUCACUGAAAUCAAGUGUGAAGUGUUUGUUUUACAGAUCGUAUAAAACCAUUAUUAUAAAAACUGAACUGUCUUACUGUUUGCAUCUGAACUUAAUUCAAGAUGUUGACCUACAAAGCUCUAAAGAACCUGGGGCCAUGAUAUCUGGGAGCCUACCUCUUCCCAGAUAAGCCUGCUAGAAAUUUGAGAUCUUCAGCAGAGACCUUGUUGCAUGUCCCAACACCAUGUGAAGUUAAAUUAGUGGAUACACAUAACAGGACUUUCUCUGUAGCAGCACUCUAGAAGUUAGCCUGGCCCCAUCUCUUAUACAUUUCUGGUGGGCUGCCAAAACAGUGUUGUUUUAACUGUUUUAAAACUGAAUUUUAGGAUUGCUUUUUGAAGUUUUUAAAGAGUGUUUAAUGUUUUUAAAAAUGUUUUAUAUGUUUAUAUUGUUGUAACUGGUUUUUAUUUGUUUAUCAUUAUGGAAGCCCUUGUGGGCAGAAACACAAAACACAAAUACUUUUAAUAAAUACAUAAUAAAAUUAUUUUUUACUUCAA